rnacentral:tRNA from 1 species
UGCCCAGGUGGUGAAACUGGUAAACACAGGGGAUUGUCACUCCCCCGGCUUCUGUAGAAACACCUACAAGCCUUACGGGUUCGAAACCCGUCCUGAGCAC